GAUGAAGAACGUAGCAAAAUGCGAUAAGUAAUGUGAAUUGCAGAAUUCAGUGAAUCAUCGAAUCUUUGAACGCACAUUGCGCCCGCCAGUAUUCUGGCGGGCAUGCCUGUUCGAGCGUCAUUUCAACCCUCAAGCACAGCUUGGUGUUGGGACUCGCGUUAAUUCGCGUUCCCCAAAUUGAUUGGCGGUCACGUCGAGCUUCCAUAGCGUAGUAGUAAAACCCUCGUUACUGGUAAUCGUCGCGGCCACGCCGUUAAACCCCAACUUCUGAAUGUUGACCUCGAAUCAGGUAGGGAUACCCGCUGAACUUAAGCAUAUCAAUAAGCGGAGGA
rnacentral:misc_RNA from 1 species